rnacentral:lncRNA from 1 species
AAAAAGUUUGAAAUGAAAUUGCAAAUAAAGUUCAAAUGUUUUUAUUAGAAUAAAAGCAUUUUCUACACUAAAGUCCUUUGGGAUCCUCAACAUAGCUUCACCUCCCAUUAAAAAUUAUGAGAUCCUGAUUUGUGAGAAAAGAAUUAAUAACAAGAAUUCAUCUGAAGCAAAAAUGAGAGAAUCUAAGUCCAGUAGCAGGAAAAAAGUCAGGAUGAUUGCUGAUGGCCCAGGAUCCAGUCAAAGACCUUGUGAUCAUGGAUGUCAACAACCCUUGUGGGGAUCACAAAUGUCAGUGCCAAAGUAAAGAAGCUGUCUCAGGGCAGAAUCAGAGAAGUGGAUGUUCAGCAAAUUUCUGAGGUUGGCCUAAGGAAACUGAGAAAAUCCUGAGGAAUGACUGACCCACUGCUCAAGCAUGACUAAACUACAAUUAAAAGCAGAGAUGACUCCCACACCCUGGUUCAGUGUGUCUGCUAGCAAGAGAGGCCAAGCUCCAGGGAGGCCCAGCUGAACAUUGUAUACACACCUAUAAAAGAUUUUCAAAGAACUGUGUUCAUGAUUAGGAAGUUAUAAAGCUUGCUCUGUGCAAAAGCCAAAGGCCUCAAUGCCAGCUGUUUUGCUUUUCAGAUACUUCCUUAAAAU